GACGAACCGGACGAACGUUAUUCGGAAUUACUGGGCUUAAAGAGUUCGUAGGCGGCUCGGAAAGUUGGGUGUGAAAUCCCACGGCUCAACCGUGGAACUGCGCUCAAAACUAUCGAGCUCGAGGGAGACAGGGGUAAGCGGAACUGAUGGUGGAGCGGUGAAAUGCAUUGAUAUCAUCAGGAACACCGGUGGCGAAGGCGGCUUACUGGGUCUCUUCUGACGCUGAGGAACGAAAGCUAGGGGAGCAAACGGG
rnacentral:ncRNA from 2 species